rnacentral:rRNA from 1 species
GACGAACGCUGGCGGCGUGCCUAAUACAUGCAAGUCGAGCGGACUUUCAAGAAGCUUGCUUUUUGAAAGUUAGCGGCGGACGGGUGAGUAACACGUGGGCAACCUGCCUGCAAGACGGGGAUAACUCCGGGAAACCGGGGCUAAUACCGGAUAAUAUCUUCCUUCGCAUGAAGGAAGGUUGAAAGGCGGCGCAAGCUGCCGCUUGCAGAUGGGCCCGCGGCGCAUUAGCUAGUUGGUGAGGUAACGGCUCACCAAGGCGACGAUGCGUAGCCGACCUGAGAGGGUGAUCGGCCACACUGGGACUGAGACACGGCCCAGACUCCUACGGGAGGCAGCAGUAGGGAAUCUUCCGCAAUGGACGAAAGUCUGACGGAGCAACGCCGCGUGAGCGAAGAAGGUCUUCGGAUCGUAAAGCUCUGUUGUCAGGGAAGAAAAAGUACCGUUCGAACAGGGCGGUACCUUGACGGUACCUGACCAGAAAGCCACGGCUAACUACGUG